UAGGGCGCAAGCGUUGUCCGGAAUUAUUGGGCGUAAAGAGCUCGUAGGCGGCUUGUCACGUCGGGUGUGAAAGCCCGGGGCUUAACCCCGGGUCUGCAUUCGAUACGGGCAGGCUAGAGUGUGGUAGGGGAGAUCGGAAUUCCUGGUGUAGCGGUGAAAUGCGCAGAUAUCAGGAGGAACACCGGUGGCGAAGGCGGUUCUCUGGGCAUGUUCUGACGCUGAGGAGCGAAAGUGUGGGGAGCGAACAGG
rnacentral:rRNA from 1 species